rnacentral:rRNA from 1 species
AUUGAACGCUGGCGGCAGGCCUAACACAUGCAAGUCGAGCGAGCGGCGGACGGGUGAGUAAUGUAUGGGGACUGCCCGAUAGAGGGGGCUAACUACUGGAAACGGUGGCUAAUACCGCAUACUAUUGGAUAACCGAUAUGGGAUUAGCUAGUAGGUGGGGUAAAGGCUCACCAAGGCGACGAUCCCUAGCUGGUCGUAGAGGAUGAUCAGCCAAACUGGGACGGAGACACGGCCCAGACUCCUACGGAGGCAGCAGUGGGGAAUAUUGCACAAUGGGCGCAAGCCUGAUCCAGCCAUGCCGCGUGUAUGAAGAAGGCCUUAGGGUUGUAAAGUACUUUUGGCGGGGAAGCGGUACCUGCAGAAUAAGCACCGGCUAACUCCGUGCCAGCAGCCGCGGUAAUUC